UUAUUAAUAUGAUUUGUUUGUACAUAAAUAAUUCAUCAUAAAUAACUCAAUUGUUUUACUUGUAAGAAUAAGCACAAAAGAAGGAGGAUCGAAGUGAGCCCAAUAGAAUUGAGAUGUUUGCCCUAACACACACAAGAAAAUAUGGGAUGCUUGUUGAUGAUCAUUCUAAGGAGAUUAUGGAUCAAUUUCAGCAAUUACUAUCCUAACCUGAGGGGACAUCUUCUUCUACUUUUGCAUCAUCUGGAGCAUCUACAUCUGUAGCAUCUACAUAUGUAGAUGAGAUAUAUACUCAAGUCAUGGGUCCAGAAAGGCAUGGUCGUGUUCGAGAGGGUAUGGAUUUGGUCCUACUCCUACCUCAGUUUUUGGUUCUACUAGUAGAAGACGAUCAAGAGCUAUUCUUUCAACACAACUUGAAAACGCCUAAGAGAUGUUAAUAGCUGCAGAACAAAAGUUUACAACUACAACUGAAGAACUCUCAAAUGUGAAAGAAACAUUUGAAGAGAGGUUGAUAGAAGUUCAAAGGAAAA